rnacentral:lncRNA from 1 species
GCUGCUGAACAAAAAAGAUUCCAAGAGGUGGUAAACUGGAUGCAGGUAGCCUUGCACCUAUCAGUUCCUCCUCUUGGACAGGGAUGGAAUAGGCAGCAUGCAGCCUUGCCCAGGACACCCAGCCCUGUCUACCCAUUCUGGAAUGAGCAGGGCCAUUAUGUGGUCACUGCUUUAUGGCCACCUGUGAUGCUUAGGUACUGGCAAGGCCAGGAAGGGUGGCUCACCCCCAGUGAUGGUACAGAACAAAGCAUCAUCUGGAGUACUGUGCCAAAUUUGGUGCACCACAUUUCAAAGAAGAUUGGAAUAAAUCCAAAAGAAAGUAGAAUUGGUCAGCAGCAGUGUCCUUGA